GAGACAGCAGCAGCCGCGGUAAUACAGAGGGUGCGAGCGUUAAUCGGAUUUACUGGGCGUAAAGCGUGCGUAGGCGGCUUCUUAAGUCGGAUGUGAAAUCCCUGAGCUUAACUUAGGAAUUGCAUUCGAUACUGGGAAGCUAGAGUAUGGGAGAGGAUGGUAGAAUUCCAGGUGUAGCGGUGAAAUGCGUAGAGAUCUGGAGGAAUACCGAUGGCGAAGGCAGCCAUCUGGCCUAAUACUGACGCUGAGGUACGAAAGCAUGGGGAGCAAACAGGAUUAGAUACCCGCGUAGUCCCUGUCUCUUAUAC
rnacentral:rRNA from 1 species